ensembl:lncRNA
UUUUCAGAUGAGCGGUUGGAAACUUGUGAUUAAGGUGAAACACACACCAUGAAGCAGUAAAGAGCAGGCCUUGAUUUUCUUUUCACUCAUCUUCAGUGUUCAGGUCUGACUAAUAAGGAAUGCAGGAGCUUUCUCUACAGUAUUUCCAAGUAAUUUUUUGGAAGCUGGUUCCAAUUUUCAGGCUACUGUUGAGGAGCUGGUUUGAACACAACAAUGGAGGCCCCUAAUUCAAUGUUGGCUUUGAAUGGAGGCAGGCUGUGAUGGCGAUACGUCACAACGAACUGGGAGGUGAGGGAGGAGGUAUGGAGGAGCGGACCCACCUAGAAAUGGCUCACCUCUGUGGUGGGUGUGGGAAGUCACUGGGUUUCAGAACAACCCAAUGGCUUAGCCUCACAUUAACUAAAGCCAUCCGUGAGAAACUGUCUUGUGAAUUUGCAUGAAACAUAUUUCUUGGGUUAGGCAGGAAAUCAAAAUUUCUUCAAGGAAGCUGAUACUAAAACCACUCUGAAAACGAAGUCUCCGAAGGCCUUACCUCACACAACACAGCCACAAACACCUGCUUCCGCUUCAGUUUCUCCUCCUAUUCAAAACUAAAGAGAGUAUUUCCAGAUCUCUGGAGCAGCUGUUCAUUUUAAGCCAGAUACGUAGCAGUAAGACGCUCACUGAUGGCCUGAGGAUGGGAAAACACUACAUUUAUCAAAAUAUUCUGAUUUCCUCACUUAGACAGUUGCUGGGUAGAGCAAUGGAAGUCUUUACCCAGAUUUUUCAUGCAGCAUUUUGAAUCCUGAGUUAGAAACCAGUGAGUGUAUGUGACAUAUUUCAGGAGAUGUUCGUCGAUAGUGAAUGCGAGAUGCAAAUUCAACUAAAGUCCACAGUUUAAUCCUCAUUAAGAGGCUCAUUGGUGUCCACUUUAUCAGGAUAAUGAGAUAGAAAACAUGAGUCCUUAGGGGGACCCUAAUUAGGCGUUCUGGCAGGCCUGUUCAAGCAAGUAUAUGAUUUGAGGGGAUUGCUACCAUUGCGUUUUGUUGCUGACAUGCAUUUGCAAAUGCAUCUUGUGCUUCUAAGCUUUCAGUGCAUCUGGGGAUCCAGUUCAAGUAGCUCUCAUGAUUUUUCAAAUCCUUCCUCCAAAUCCCUACAGCCUUUCAGUCCCUCUGCCCAGUCAGACAUCACCUAUAGGGCUCCUUAAAAAAUAUAUAUCCUUGUUUCGGCAGUCAGUAUGGGAAGCAGUGAAUCUCACAGAUCCGAUGAAGGCUGAUCUUAGGGCAAAAGCACAGAAGUGAAAUCUCUGGUCAGAACAUACACCCUAUCCAAGAUGGGUUGAAUGGUUUAAUUUCUCUGUGCCUCUGAUCCAUGCCUGUAAAAUGGGGGGAAAAUACUUUGCUUGCUUGUGCUCCUUUUCCUCUCACUACUAUUGUAUAUCUAGUAAGUACAGAUUCUUCAGACAAAAUAAUAUGGUUUUUUACUAUGUGUACCACACAAGAUCUCCAGAGCUGAUUGUGAGUAUUAUCUGUUCCUGCAAGAUAAGCAUAUCCUCACCAAAUUGCAUCCCUGUUGGAUCAUAGCACACUUCCCUUCUCUGCUUUCUCCACAGCUUAACUGCUGCUUGGCCAUCAGAUAGUACUUGGCAGCUAAUCUAGCCAAUGUAAAUGUUUUCAUGGACAGGCAAUUUUCCAGGAGCUGAAUGACUCUGCAGUGCUCUGACCCCAGAAGCCAGGAAGGACUUUAAACACUCAGUGCAGCCACUGGCUCCGGAAUGCCCCGGGCUGUCAGCUGGUAGGCUCUGGUGCAAGUACUGGAGAUACCUGCCUGUUCCAGCCCUGCUCUUUCUCUCUUUCCCAUAGCCCUUUUACUGGCCUCUAGUCAGAGACAGGCUGCCAAACCACAGGGAAGUUUGGUGUGCCCACAAUGGCAAUAAAAGCAGUCUAUCCUUUCACUCCUAUACUAAUAAUGCAAUUUAAUAAUUUAUUACACCAUCGGUAAUAAAGCAAGUCAGUGAUUUUUGCCCUACGUAGAUCCAAUUUCUCUUCUUCCACACCCAAUGGCUGCGCAUGGAUUUCCUACCAGGAGUAAUCCCAAUAUGCACACCCCCCCCAGAAACCACCUGGUUUUUUGCUGUUUGACCUGGGCCAGAGCAGAGCUAUGAGUCCAGAAGCCAUUCUGGCAAGUAACAAUAUAGUUGAACUCAUGACAGUGCUCAGAACUUGCCGUGCUGCUACUAAAUACAGACAGUUCUGUUAUGG